rnacentral:rRNA from 1 species
AUUGAACGCUGGCGGCAGGCCUAACACAUGCAAGUCGAGCGAGCGGCGGACGGGCGAGCUCUGUCCGGGCACAUGACUGAUGGAGGGGGAUGACUAGUGGAAACGUUAGCUACUACCGCUCACCAUCACAUGGGUCGUAAUGGGAUUAGCUAGUAGGUGGGGUAACGGCUCACCAAGGCGACGAUCCCUAGCUGGUCUGAGAGGAAGACCAGCCACACUGGAACUGAGACACGGUCCAGACUCCUACGGGAGGCAGCAGUGGGGAAUAGUGGACAAUGGGGGAAAGCCUGAUGCAGCCAGGCCGCGUGAGUGAAGAAGGCCUUCGGGUUGUAAAGCACUUUCGGCAGGGAAGCGUUAUUUGCAGAAAAAGCACCGGCUAACUCCGUGCCAGCAGCCGCGGUAAUUC